UAUAUUGUUCUGAAAAAUCUACCAAAGUCCCAAGCUUGUCGUCCAGACUCAGUAAAUACUGAUCCUACAAAUGGUCUGGACGAUGCAGAAGGCAAAUAUCUCUUGUAGAGAUACUGGUCCACUUUAUGUGUUAGUUGAACAAAACUUUUCGAGUUAAGGGAUAACACCUUGUGAUGAUGUGUGUAAGAAUAACUUCUAUAAGUAUAUGGCGAAG
rnacentral:misc_RNA from 1 species